UACGUAGGGUGCGAGCGUUGUCCGGAAUUAUUGGGCGUAAAGGGCUCGUAGGCGGUUUGUCACGUCGGGAGUGAAAACUCAGGGCUUAACCCUGAGCCUGCUUCCGAUACGGGCAGACUAGAGGUAUGCAGAGGAGAACGGAAUUCCUGGUGUAGCGGUGAAAUGCGCAGAUAUCAGGAGGAACACCGAUGGCGAAGGCAGGUCUCUGGGCCACUACUGACGCUGAGAAGCAAAAGCAUGGGGAGCGAACAGG
rnacentral:rRNA from 1 species